ensembl:lncRNA
UCUGUGAAAUAUGUUUCUCCUAUGGCUCUCCUCCAAGGAUCCCUUCUACUCUCUGAAAUAGCCAAGAGCRCUAAGACAUAUGUGGCAAGAGACUGGAUAUUUUAAGAAUUGAAGGAAAGGUAUCUCCAUGGCCCUGUGCCUGCCAGAAAACUGGACUGCAGAAUGUUUCCUCCUCCAUGGCAUGGAGUCACGUGUGGAGGUGCUCCGGGAAUUCCUAGGCACCCUUAUGAGAUGUUUUUGAACUUGUCUUCUUCAAACAAACACCCAAACUGGUAUAUAGCUCUGGGAGGAAGAUACCCUUUCCUUGUAAAAUUCGAUGUAUAAUACCUACAGAUAUUUCACUGUAGAACCUUGUGUUCACCUUGAGUUGGGACAGGCUGCUGCGAAAUCCCCUGGUGAGACAGCAGAGGAUCCUGGAGUCUCCAGAUCUGUGGUCUGCCUCAACAUGACUUCUCUAUGAGAUUUUUCUAAAUUAAUUCAAUUCUCUCUUUUAUGUGCCUGCUUAUUAUAACAUUUUGCCUCCUUCUUAAACGUGCUUCACGUAAAAGAAAAGGGAAAAUGAUUCAACAACAGUUAUAGUAAUGUUCCACUUGUGCAUUUUGUUUUAUAUGUGCUAUGUCUGGCUGUGUUUCAAGURAUUGUAGAGAUACUCAAAACAUUUUUAAUUCUCCCAGUUGAAAGUGGAAAGUACAGGGCUGUGAAGAACACAGAGAAAAUUAAACUUUAGAAUUUAAAU